rnacentral:miRNA from 1 species
UAAAUGUACGAGGUGUGGCUAUUAAAUAACGAGACUGGUUACGAAAAAGUGUUUUAUUAUAAAAAUUAUUCUACAUUCAAAUACAUUACUCGUUUUUUUCACUACUCAUCUAGGACGCUCUCUAGGCGAUUAGUCUCGUUGUUUAAUAGCCACACCUCGUAUACAC